ensembl:lncRNA
AUUUAUUGUUCCUUAGGCUGGCGGUGCAAUGCUGUUCACACACAGAUGUACAUGCUGGAGGGAGUAUCGAGGUGGAACAUGGGCCGGGCCAAGGAGGCAGUAGAUGUGGAGGGGGCCUCAACCCUCAGAAGCUUUGAUGUCCGCUUGAUGUCCCACCUCAGCAACUUAAGACAGCGCGUUCUUGGUUCCACUCUGGUGCCAGAGUUCACUCCACCCGGGAAACCUACUAGCGAGCGCAUAGCAGUGGAGUAUUUAUUGGCCCAGACCAACAGAGGUGACCUGCUGGCUCCAAAUCAGGUCCCUGAGGUCCCCUCGCAGGUACUUGAGGAGGAGGAUGAGCCGGAUGACACCAUCAGCAUGACUGACAUUCUGUGCCAGUCAGCUGCGAUAGGGGCUGGUGAUCCUCCAGGUGCUGUGGUGGGUGACGCUGAACCCGGACCCCUCGUCACACAGACCAGCCAAUGUGACUCAAGGGGCGUUGUGGGAUGGGAUGCGGUUGCUAACCUGGCAGGCUACCUAGUUGGCUUGAAUCGCACCAUCACUGCCUUGUCAAUGAAGGAGGAAGAGGACAUAGUCCAGCUAUAUACAGCUCUCCAUGACAUGGACAAGAAGCAUUCAAGCUACACCCAGAAGGCUAGGAAAAAAGGACAGGCAUCAGGAGGACCAUGGAGAGCACCGAGGAGGCCGAGUGGCUCUGCUCCGGGACAGCAGGCGGCAGAGAGACUAUACAUGACUCACGGCCAAGCAGCCCAGGAUCCCGAACACCACAGGGUCAGUGAGUGUGUCUGCCUCAGACUGGCCAAGGAGUUCGAGCAGUCCCGCAACAGGCCGAAGGACACGAGGGGGAAAACCCUGCCCAUCCCUCAGUCAAUUGUGAGCGUCUACAGCCACAUUAGACAGCUGCUGGAGGACAGCAGGGUUAUCGUGGUCCAGACGGCGCUGGCUCUGGUGCCGGUGAACAACACCACGGUCUCUGCAUGGCUGCUUAGGAGGGACAAGAGGAAGGACAGGAACAUGCUGCUGCAGGGCAAUGUUCUCCCUCAACAGCUAUACCUGGCCAAGGAGCCUCUCCCUUCAUCAAACACUCUCCCGGCUGCCCCUGAUUAACAUGCACAUGAGAUGACA